UGCGGCGGCCAUGGCCCAGGUGAGACGCCCGGUCCCAUUCCGAACCCGGAAGCUAAGGCCUGGCACGGCGAUGGUACUGCACCCGACAGGGUGUGGGAGAGUAGCACGCCGCC
rnacentral:rRNA from 1 species